UGGGGAAUAUUGGACAAUGGGCGCAAGCCUGAUCCAGCAAUGCCGCGUGUGUGAGGAAGGCCUGCGGGUUGUAAAGCACUUUCAGUGGGGAGGAAGGCCUCGGCGUUAAUAUCGUCGAGGAUUGACGUUACCUACAGAAGAAGCACCGGCUAACUCUGUGCCAGCAGCCGCGGUAAUACAGAGGGUGCAUGCGUUAAUCGGACUUACUGGGCGUAAAGGGCGCGUAGGUGGUUAAUUAAGUCAGAUGUGAAAUCCCCGGGCUUAACCUGGGAAAUGCAUUUGAAACGGAUUGGCUAGAGUACGGGAGAGGGAAGUGGAAUUUCCGGUGUAGCGGUGAAAUGCGUAGAUAUCGGAAGGAACACCAGUGGCGAAGGCGACUUCCUGACCCGUUACUGACAUUGAGGCGCGAAAGCGUGGGGAGCGAACA
rnacentral:rRNA from 1 species